GCCGAGGUAGCCAAGCUAGGCCAACGGCGAAGGACUCAAGAUCCUUUCUCGUAGGAGUACGCGAGUUCGAGUCUCGCCCUCGGCACCA
rnacentral:tRNA from 1 species